UUCGAUUCGGGCUCAGAUUGAACGCUGGCGGGAUGCUUUACACAUGCAAGUCGAACGGCAGCACGGACUUCGGUCUGGUGGCGAGUGGCGAACGGGUGAGUAAUGUAUCGGAACGUGCCUAGUAGUGAUAACUACGAAAGCGUAGCCAAUACCGCAUACGCCCUUCGGGGAAAGCGGGGACCCCGGGCCUCGCAUCGCGGUUAGAGCGGGCCGAUAUCGGAUUAGCUAGUUGGUGGGCACGUCAUCAAGGCGCAUGAUCCGUAGCUGGUUUGAGAGGACGACCGGCCACACUGGGACUGAGACACGGCCCAGACUCCGCCGGAGGCAGCAGUGGGGAAUUUUGGACAAUGGGGAAAUCCUGAUCCAGCCAUCCGCGUGUGCGAUGAAGGCCUUCUCGGGUUGUAAAGCACUUUUGGCAGGAAAGAAACGGCACGGGAUAAUACCCUCGGUGCACCCACGGUACCAGAGAAUAAGUACCGGCUAACUACGCCAGCAGCCGCGGUAAUACGUAGGGUGCAAGCGUUAAUCGGAAUUACUGGGCAGCGCGUGCGCAGGCGGCUCGGAAAGAAAGAUGUGAAAUCAGAGCUUAACUUUGGAACUGCAUUUCUUUAACUACCGAGCUAGAGUGUGUCAGAGUGGAGGUGGGAAUUCCGCGUGUAGCAGUGAAUGCGUAGGAGCGGAGGUUACCUGAUGGCGAAGGCAGCCUCUGGGAUAACACUGACGCUCAUGCACGAAAGCGUGGGAGCAAACAGGAUUAGAUACCCCGGUAGUCCACGCCCAAACGAUGUCAACUAGCUGUUGGGGCCUUCGGGCCUUGGUAGCGCAGCUAACGCGGUGAAGUUGACCGCCUGGGGAGUACGGUCGCAAGAUUAAAACUCAAAGGAAUUGACGACCCGCACAAGCGGUGGAUAUGUGAUUAAUCUGAUGCAACGCGAAACCUACCUACCCUUGACAUGUCUGGAAUCCCGAAGAGAUUUGGGAGUGCUCGCAAGAGAACCGGAACACAGGUGCUGCAUGGCUGUCGUCAGCUCGUGUCGUGAGAUGUUGGGUUAAGUCCGCAACGAGCGCAACCCUUGUCAUUAGUUGCUACGAAAGGGCACUCUAAUGAGACUGCCGGUGACAAACCGGAGGAAGGUGGGGAUGACGUCAAGUCCUCAUGGCCCUUAUGGGUAGGGCUUCACACGUCAUACAAUGGUCGUGGACAGAGGGUCGCCAACCCGCGAGGGGGAGCCAAUCCCAGAAACCGAUCAGUCCGAUCGCAGUCUGCAACUCGACUGCGUGAAGUCGGAAUCGCUAGUAACUGGUGGAUCAGCAUGUCGCGGAAUACGUUCCCGGGUCUUGUACACACCGCCCGUCACACCAUGGGAGUGGGUUUUACCAGAAGUAGUUAGCCUAACCGUAAGGGAGGGCGAUUACCACGGUAGGAUUCAUGACUGUGUGUAGUCGUAACAAGGUAG
rnacentral:rRNA from 1 species